AGGUGGAUUUGGAUGGGAGAAAGAGAGAUGAAAGAGAAGGAGAAGAGUAAGAGAAGUGAGUGAAGGUGGAACCACCUAUCUUCAUCUUCGAUUCUUCUUAGGAUGUUGUUCCUAAUUUAGACAGGGGUUAUCCAGCAAGGUGUGUUUGUGUCAGUUGCUACCUCCAUAUGCAACUGUGAUAAAACGGUUGAAUGGUGAAUCCGUGGGUUACAACCAUUGGAUGGAUUACAUGGCUAAUCAACGGGUUAGAAGAAUGACGAUUUCCCAUAACUAUUUGUCUCAUAAAAAGUGUCUCUUUUUUAUUUAUUUUUUAAAAAUAUUUAUAG
rnacentral:lncRNA from 1 species